rnacentral:rRNA from 1 species
CACGUAGGGCGCGAGCGUUGUCCGGAAUUAUUGGGCGUAAAGAGCUCGUAGGCGGCCUGUUGCGUCCGCUGUGAAAGCCCGGGGCUUAACCCCGGGUCGGCAGUGGAUACGGGCAGGCUAGAGGUAGGUAGGGGAGAUUGGAAUUCCUGGUGUAGCGGUGGAAUGCGCAGAUAUCAGGAGGAACACCAAUGGCGAAGGCAGAUCUCUGGGCCGUAACUGACGCUGAGGAGCGAAAGCAUGGGGAGCGAACAGG